UACGUAGGGUGCAAGCGUUGUCCGGAAUUAUUGGGCGUAAAGAGCUCGUAGGCGGUCUGUUACGUCGGCUGUGAAAACCUGGGGCUCAACCCCGGGCCUGCAACCGAUACGGGCAGACUAGAGUUCGGUAGGGGAGACUGGAGUUCCUGGUGUAGCGGUGAAAUGCGCAGAUAUCAGGAGGAACACCGGUGGCGAAGGCGGGUCUCUGGGCCGAUAUUGACGCUGAGGAGCGAAAGCGUGGGGAGCAAACAGG
rnacentral:rRNA from 1 species